rnacentral:lncRNA from 1 species
UGCUUUAAUUUAAGCCAACCACCAUUAGGAAGAAACAUUGAAAGCUAUCUCAACUUCUCAAGCAACCAAGGAAGAAGUCAAAGCACUGAAAGCUCAUCUACCUUGACUUCUUUAAAGCCAAAAUGAGUUUUAUUGGUUCUAAACUUUAUUUCUUGUAUAUUUCUACUUAUUUUAUAGUAACAAGUUUCUUGGGUAUAGAAACUUGAGGUUGGUCCACGUCUAACUU